AGGGAAACCGAGUCUUAACCGGGCGUUAAGUUGCAGGGUAUAGACCCGAAACCCGGUGAUCUAGCCAUGGGCAGGUUGAAGGUUGGGUAACACUAACUGGAGGACCGAACCGACUAAUGUUGAAAAAUUAGCGGAUGACCUGUGGCUGGGGGUGAAAGGCCAAUCAAACCGGGAGAUAGCUGGUUCUCCCCGAAAGCUAUUUAGGUAGCGCCUCGUGAACUCAUCUCCGGGGGUAGAGCACUGUUUCGGCUAGGGGGCCAUCCCGGCUUACCAACCCGAUGCAAACUGCGAAUACCGGAGAAUGUUAUCACGGGAGACACACGGCGGGUGCUAACGUCCGUCGUGAAGAGGGAAACAACCCAGACCGCCAGCUAAGGUCCCAAAGUCAUGGUUAAGUGGGAAACGAUGUGGGAAGGCCCAGACAGCCAGGAUGUUGGCUUAGAAGCAGCCAUCAUUUAAAGAAAGCGUAAUAGCUCACUGGUCGAGUCGGCCUGCGCGGAAGAUGUAACGGGGCUAAACCAUGCACCGAAGCUGCGGCAGCGACACUAUGUGUUGUUGGGUAGGGGAGCGUUCUGUAAGCCUGUGAAGGUGUGUCGUGAGGCAUGCUGGAGGUAUCAGAAGUGCGAAUGCUGACAUAAGUAACGAUAAAGCGGGUGAAAAGCCCGCUCGCCGGAAGACCAAGGGUUCCUGUCCAACGUUAAUCGGGGCAGGGUGAGUCGACCCCUAAGGCGAGGCCGAAAGGCGUAGUCGAUGGGAAACAGGUUAAUAUUCCUGUACUUGGUGUUACUGCGAAGGGGGGACGGAGAAGGCUAUGUUGGCCGGGCGACGGUUGUCCCGGUUUAAGCGUGUAGGUGUGUGUUCCAGGUAAAUCCGGUUCACUUUAACACUGAGGCGUGAUGACGAGGCACUACGGUGCUGAAGCAACAAAUGCCCUGCUUCCAGGAAAAGCCUCUAAGCAUCAGGUAACAUCAAAUCGUACCCCAAACCGACACAGGUGGUCAGGUAGAGAAUACCAAGGCGCUUGAGAGAACUCGGGUGAAGGAACUAGGCAAAAUGGUGCCGUAACUUCGGGAGAAGGCACGCUGACAUGUAGGUGAAGUGAUUUACUCAUGGAGCUGAA
rnacentral:rRNA from 2 species